rnacentral:rRNA from 1 species
UACAGAGGUCUCAAGCGUUGUUCGGAUUCAUUGGGCGUAAAGGGUGCGUAGGUGGUGAGGUAAGUCGGAUGUGAAAUCCCGGGGCUCAACCCUGGAACUGCAUUCGAUACUGCCUUACUUGAGUACUGGAGAGGAGAUUGGAAUUUACGGUGUAGCAGUGAAAUGCGUAGAUAUCGUAAGGAAGACCAGUGGCGAAGGCGGAUCUCUGGACAGUUACUGACACUGAGGCACGAAGGCCAGGGGAGCAAACGGG